rnacentral:rRNA from 1 species
UAGGGAAUCUUCGGCAAUGGACGAAAGUCUGACCGAGCAACGCCGCGUGAGUGAAGAAGGUUAUCGGAUCGUAAAACUCUGUUGUUAGAGAAGAACAAGGACGUUAGUAACUGAACGUCCCCUGACGGUAUCUAACCAGAAAGCCACGGCUAACUACGUGCCAGCAGCCGCGGUAAUACGUAGGUGGCAAGCGUUGUCCGGAUUUAUUGGGCGUAAAGCGAGCGCAGGCGGUUUCUUAAGUCUGAGGUGAAAGCCCCCGGCUCAACCGGGGAGGGUCAUUGGAAACUGGGAGACUUGAGUGCAGAAGAGGGGGGUGGAAUUCCAUGUGUAGCGGUGAAAUGCGUAGAUAUAUGGAGGAACACCAGUGGCGAAGGCGGCUCUCUGGUCUGUAACUGACGCUGAGGCUCGAAAGCGUGGGGAGCAAACAGG